GCACGUAGCUCUUUCAUCCAUUUGUCUUUGCGCCGUAUUUGCCAUAUCUACAAGACCCUUUUCACUCUUUUGGUGAGAACUGAGAAACCAUGCAAAAACUGUGUUUUCAAAUUAUUUGAUUCAGUUGAAACCCUACCAUUUUCGGAGCUAAGUGGAAGAAUUUGAUAGAACAAGCUUAAAUUAUGGUGAAGGAAGCGAAAGAUUCAUCAGUAUCCACAACCCAUCGGUGUUUA
rnacentral:misc_RNA from 1 species